UACGAAGGGGGCUAGCGUUGCUCGGAAUCACUGGGCGUAAAGCGCACGUAGGCGGCUUCUUAAGUCGGAGGUGAAAUCCUGGAGCUCAACUCCAGAACUGCCUUCGAUACUGAGGAGCUCGAGUCCGGGAGAGGUGAGUGGAACUGCGAGUGUAGAGGUGAAAUUCGUAGAUAUUCGCAAGAACACCAGUGGCGAAGGCGGCUCACUGGCCCGGUACUGACGCUGAGGUGCGAAGCCCUGGGGCGCAAACGGG
rnacentral:rRNA from 1 species